AUGCUCACUUUCUCUCUCUCUCAAAAACAAAUAAACAUUAAAAAAAAAUUAUGGAGCCCCUACAAUGUGCUAGUCCCAGGAAACACAUAGAACAGUGAACAAAAGAAAAUCCCACUCACCUAAAGCCUACAUUCUAGUGGGGGGUAGACUGAAUGAACAAAUAAACUUCUAAUAUAUAACAUGUCAAGUUAAAAAAAAAAAGCACAGAGAAUGAAGGGGUAGAGGACUGGGGGCAGAAGAUGCAAUGGGUACUAUUUUAGAACCAGUGGUCAGAAAAGGCUUGAGUUUAAACUGCUGCAAAGGGGCACAGCAGGCCUGCUAGCUAUUCCAUCCAGCAGGUCCUAUAGUCUUGACUACAGUUCAGUGCUUCCUUGCUUUUCACUGGAUGAAAGGGUAGACCACAGUGCUAAAUGCAAACAGCAGGUUGAAGAGAAAGAAAAAUAUGAAGUCUUUCUCCCUGACCUCAAGGAAAGCAGUUGCCAUGCACUGUUGCCACGGCAUUAGGGAAAUAGAGAAAGCAGCAUUCUAACAGGUGAGUAUGAAGAGAAAACACUAGUGAGGAGACAAAAGGCAAGUAGAGGUAUAGAGUAUUUCAUGACUAAGUGGCACCUUGCUUACAUGGAUUUUCUCAUUUAAUCCUCAGAACACUCCUGCAAGAAUGCAGAAAACCAAGAAUGAACACCUACUUUAUGUCUAGGAAGUCAUGUACACAGCAGAAGCUCUUAACCAAUCUGCAAUUAGCCAACUCCAGGAUGAACUUCACCCUAUAAAACAUCCUAGCUGAUGCCCAUUAUUACUUGGUGCUCACAGCUAGUAAUCACAGAUUGUGGCAAGCUCAUCAAAUUCUCCUCCUACCUUUGAGAAGAUGGUUACGAAGAAUCAACUGUGUUUGCUCCCAAACAGACUUAUGCUGGUUACACUUGCUACUGAAAUUGUGUAAUUCAAUUAAAUAUUAUGUAAAACAAUUA